rnacentral:rRNA from 1 species
GACGAACGCUGGCGGCGUGCUUAACACAUGCAAGUCGAACGAAAAGACCCUGCUUUUGUGGGGUGCUCGAGUGGCGAACGGGUGAGUAACACGUGAGUAACCUGCCCUUGACUUUGGGAUAACUUCAGGAAACUGGGGCUAAUACCGGAUAGGAGCUCCUGCUGCAUGGUGGGGGUUGGAAAGUUUCGGCGGUUGGGGAUGGACUCGCGGCUUAUCAGCUUGUUGGUGGGGUAGUGGCUUACCAAGGCUUUGACGGGUAGCCGGCCUGAGAGGGUGACCGGCCACAUUGGGACUGAGAUACGGCCCAGACUCCUACGGGAGGCAGCAGUGGGGAAUAUUGCACAAUGGGCGGAAGCCUGAUGCAGCAACGCCGCGUGCGGGAUGACAGCCUUCGGGUUGUAAACCGCUUUCGCCUGUGACGAAGCGUGAGUGACGGUAAUGGGUAAAGAAGCACCGGCUAACUACGUG